rnacentral:rRNA from 1 species
UGGGGAAUUUUGGACAAUGGGCGCAAGCCUGAUCCAGCCAUUCCGCGUGCAGGACGAAGGCCUUCGGGUUGUAAACUGCUUUUGUACGGAACGAAAAGCCCUUCUCUAAUACAGAGGGGUCAUGACGGUACCGUAAGAAUAGCACCGGCUAACUUCGUUCCAGCAGCCGCGGUAAUACGAAGGGUGCAAGCGUUACUCGGAAUUACUGGGCGUAAAGCGUGCGCAGGCGGUUAUGUAAGACAGAUGUGAAAUCCCCGGGCUCAACCUGGGAACUGCAUUAGUGACUGCAUAGCGGGAGUACGGCAGAGGGGGAUGGAAUUCCGCGUGUAGCAGUGAAAUGCGUAGAUAUGCGGAGGAACACCGAUGGCGAAGGCAAUCCCCUGGGCCUGUACUGACGCUCAUGAACGAAAGCGUGGGGAGCAAACG